rnacentral:rRNA from 1 species
UACGUAGGGAGCAAGCGUUGUCCGGAAUCAUUGGGCGUAAAGCGCGCGUAGGCGGCCCUGUAAGUCCGUUGUGAAAGUCAAAGGCUCAACCUUUGAAAGCCGAUGGAUACUGCAGGGCUGGAGUUCGGAAGAGGCGAGUGGAAUUCCUGGUGUAGCGGUGGAAUGCGCAGAUAUCAGGAGGAACACCAAUAGCGAAGGCAGCUCGCUGGGACGGUACUGACGCUGAGGCGCGAAAGCGUGGGGAGCGAACAGG